AAAUUAUUUCUGGUUUAAUAUUUAUUAAAUGUUUAAAUUAUAUAUAAAUUUUAUUUUAAAACAGUUUAAUUUUUUAAAAAAAAUUAAUUUUAAAUUUUAUAUAAUAAUUAAUUUUAAAAUUUAUCUUAAAAAAAUUUAAAUUUAGUAAUAUUAAUUUAUUUUUAAUAAAAAUUGUGCCAGCAAUUGCGGUUAAACAAUUAAUAAAAAUAAAUAUAAAUUUAAUUUUUAAAAAAAUUUAUUUAAAAAAUAUAAAAUUUAAAUUUAAAUUAAUUAGGUAAAAUUUAAUAAUUUAAAAUAUAAUUUAAAAAUAUUUAAUUUUAGAAAAAAUUUAUAUUUAAACUAGGAUUAGAUACCCUAUUAUAAUAAUUGAUUAUUUAAAAAAAUUUAAAUUAAAUUAGUAAAAUUUAUAAUUUGAAAUUUAAAGAAUUUGACGGUAUUUAAAUCAAUUUAGAGGAAUUUGUUUAAUAAUUGAUAAUCCACAAUAUAAUUUACUUAUUUUAAAUUUGUAUAUCGUUGUUAUAAAAAUAUUUUUUAAUAAUUAAAUAAUAUUUUAAAAUUUAAAUUUAAAUUUAUAUCAAAUCAAGAUACAGUUAAUAAAUAAGAUUUAAAAUGAAUUACAAUAAUUAUAAUAACUUAUAAUAAUUUUUUUGAAAAAUUUAUUAUUAAAUUGGAUUUAAAUGUAAUUAAUUAAAUAAUUUUUGUUAAUGAUUAAUGUUUUUAAAUAAGUACAUAUUGCCCGUCACUCUUGUUAGUAGAAAUUUGUCUAUAGUCGAGAUAAGUCGUAACAUAGUAGAAGUAUUGGAAAAUGUUUCUA
rnacentral:ncRNA from 1 species